GGCCGCCUGGCGAAAUGGCAUCGCGUCUGACUACGAUGAGAAGUAUCAGGAGAUUGCAGGUUCGAUCCCUGCGGUGGUCA
rfam:Lentinula edodes NBRC 111202 DNA, contig: scaffold317.